GUGCCAGCAGCCGCGGUAAUACCGGCAGCCCGAGUGAUGGCCGAUAUUAUUGGGCCUAAAGCGUCCGUAGCUGGCUGCGCAAGUCCGUCGGGAAAUCCACUCGCUCAACGCGUGGGCGUCCGACGGAAACUGCACAGCUUGGGACCGGAAGGCUCGAAGGGUACGUUCGGGGUAGGAGUGAAAUCCCAUAAUCCCGCACGGACCACCGAUGGCGAAAGCGCUUCGAGAAAAGGGAUCCGACAGUGAGGGACGAAAGCCAGGAUCUCCAACCGGAUUAGAUACCCUAGUAGUCC
rnacentral:rRNA from 1 species